rnacentral:rRNA from 1 species
GACCUCUAAUCAGAAAAGACUACCCGCUGAGUUUAAGCAUAUCACUAAGCGGAGGAGAAGAAACGAACCAGG